rnacentral:rRNA from 1 species
GAUGAACGCUGGCGGCGUGCCUAAUACAUGCAAGUCGAGCGAAUGGAUUAAGAGCUUGCUCUUAUGAAGUUAGCGGCGGACGGGUGAGUAACACGUGGGUAACCUGCCCAUAAGACUGGGAUAACUCCGGGAAACCGGGGCUAAUACCGGAUAACAUUUUGAACCGCAUGGUUCGAAAUUGAAAGGCGGCUUCGGCUGUCACUUAUGGAUGGACCCGCGUCGCAUUAGCUAAUUGGGGAGGUAACGGCUCACCAAGGCAACGAUGCGUAGCCCACCUGAGAGGGUGAUCGGCCACACUGGGACUGAGACACGGCCCAGACUCCUACGGGAGGCAGCAGUAGGGAAUCUUCCGCAAUGGACGAAAGUCUGACGGAGCAACGCCGCGUGGGUGAUGAAGGCUUUCGGGUCGUAAAACUCUGUUGUUAGGGAAGAACAAGUGCUAGUUGAAUAAGCUGGCACCUUGACGGUACCUAACCAGAAAGCCACGGCUAAUUACGUGCCAGCAGCCGCCGUAA